GGGCCCGUAGCUCAGCCGGGAGAGCGCCUGCUUUGCAAGCAGGAGGUCAGCGGUUCGAUCCCGCUCGGGUCCA
rnacentral:tRNA from 1 species